rnacentral:rRNA from 1 species
ACGAGAGGAAGGAAAGCUUGCUUUUCUGAAUCUAGUGGCGAACGGGUGAGUAACACGUAGGUAACCUGCCCAUGUGCCCGGGAUAACUUCUGGAAACGGAUGCUAAAACCGGAUAGGUAGCAGACAAGCAUUUGACUGCUAUUAAAGUGGCUUUGGCCAUGAACAUGGAUGGACCUGCGGUGCAUUAGCUGGUUGGUGAGGUAACGGCCCACCAAGGCGACGAUGCAUAGCCGGCCUGAGAGGGCGGACGGCCACAUUGGGACUGAGACACGGCCCAAACUCCUACGGGAGGCAGCAGUAGGGAAUUUUCGUCAAUGGGGGGAACCCUGAACGAGCAAUGCCGCGUGAGUGAGGAAGGUCUUCGGAUCGUAAAGCUCUGUUGUAAGAGAAAAACGGCACUCAUAGGGAAUGAUGAGUGAGUGAUGGUAUCUUACCAGAAAGUCACGGCUAACUACGUGCCAGCAGCCGCGGUAAUACGUAGGUGGCGAGCGUUAUCCGGAAUGAUUGGGCGUAAAGGGUGCGUAGGUGGCAGAUCAAGUCUGGAGUAAAAGGUAUGGGCUCAACCCGUACUGGCUCUGGAAACUGAUCAGCUAGAGAACAGAAGAGGACGGCGGAACUCCAUGUGUAGCGGUAAAAUGCGUAGAUAUAUGGGAAGAACACCGGUGGCGAAGGCGGCCGUCUGGUCUGGAUUCUGACACUGAAGCACGAAAGCGUGGGGAGCAAAU